rnacentral:rRNA from 1 species
UUUAGAGGAAGUAAAAGUCGUAACAAGGUCUCCGUAGGUGAACCUGCGGAGGGAUCAUUACACAAAUAUGAAGGCGGGCUGGAACCUCUCGGGGUUACAGCCUUGCUGAAUUAUUCACCCUUGUCUUUUGCGUACUUCUUGUUUCCUUGGUGGGUUCGCCCACCACUAGGACAAACAUAAACCUUUUGUAAUUGCAAUCAGCGUCAGUAACAAAUUAAUAAUUACAACUUUCAACAACGGAUCUCUUGGUUCUGGCAUCGAUGAAGAACGCAGCGAAAUGCGAUAAGUAGUGUGAAUUGCAGAAUUCAGUGAAUCAUCGAAUCUUUGAACGCACAUUGCGCCCUUUGGUAUUCCAAAGGGCAUGCCUGUUCGAGCGUCAUUUGUACCCUCAAGCUUUGCUUGGUGUUGGGCGUCUUGUCUCUAGCUUUGCUGGAGACUCGCCUUAAAGUAAUUGGCAGCCGGCCUACUGGUUUCGGAGCGCAGCACAAGUCGCACUCUCUAUCAGCAAAGGUCUAGCAUCCAUUAAG